UAAUGAACUGGACCCUGUGGGCCACGCCAAGAGCAUCCAAUCAGGCUUUUGAGCCGAAGCUUCUUUCAUGCGUGCUCGUCUCUCUCUCUCUUUUUCUCAGAAAAGCAGUCCUCUCGCUCGAAGAAAAAAAAAGUUCGGUGUGAAUCCUCUCCAAAAUCUCCACAUUUUUGGUACCAAGGAAGAAAGCAAUCCAAGAAAAGAAAGAAGGAAAAAAACUUUAGGGAAGAAAAUCUGACCAAGUCAAGAGCGAAUCAGUUCCAGAAUCUAUAGUCAGAUCGAGUGCUUGGUUUUGGGGCAAUGACGCUUGAUUAUAGAGAGAGAAUGCAGAAUGAGGCACUUCGGUUUGUGACAUACAACGUGAACUUUGCUUCUAGGAGAUUCCCAAAUUACAAGAAAAGAGCUGAUAGUAUAACUGUCGAGCCAAACAAAGGGCCUGAAGCACCAUCCCUUAAAGAGGUUGUUGCAAAAGAGACUAUCGAGCUACUAGAGCGGCGUCAGCGUCUCUCUGUUCGUGAUCUGGCUAAGAAAUUUGAGAAGGGUUUGAACACUGCCACGAAGUUGUCUAAUGAGGCGAAGUGGAGAGAAGUGACUGACCGACAUGUCCUUCUGAAGAAAUUGAUGGUUGUACUUGAAUCACUAAAGGGUCACAUGGUGGGUCAAAGUAAGGAUGAAGUUGAGGAGGCAAUCUCUAUGGUGGAAAAUUUAGCAGUUCAGCUGGCUCAAAGAGAAGGAGAGUUGCUUCAGGAGAAAUCAGAAGUGAAAAAGUUAGCGAUCUUUCUUAAAAAGGCUUCUGAAGAUGCCAAAAAAGUGGUUGAAGAGGAAAGGGCUUGCGCUCGUGUGGAAAUUGAAAGUGCUAGAGCAGCAAUGCAGAGAGUCAUACAGGCUUUUCAUGAACAUGAAAUGAAAACCAGAAGCACAGAGAAGCAGAAGGAUAUCCAAGAGUUGAUGAGAGAAGUUCAAGAGGCACGAAGAAUCAAAAUGCUACAUCAGCCCAGCAGGGUAAUGCACCUGGAACAUGAACUUCAAGCAUUGCGUAUUCAGUAUGCUGAGAAGUCUCUGUCUUCUGUUCAGCUUAGGAAAGAGCUGGAAAGGAACAAAAAGCUUGAGGAAAAUAAGAACCAGUUGUAUGAGUUAGAAGGUCUUGAAAGUUUAGGCUCAUCUCUGCAUAUUAUUCCCCGAGAAGAUACUGCUCCAGAUAUCUCAACUUGUUCAAUUCAGUGGUAUCGUAUUCAGCCAGAAGGAAACAAAAAGGAAUUAAUUCCAGGGGCAACAAAAUCAGUGUAUGCUCCAGAGCCUUUUGAUGUUGGGCGCUUCUUGCAAGCAGAAAUUGUUUUAGGUGCUGAAAGCAUAACUAUUGCAACAACUGGUCCAAUAGAUCCUGCUGCAGGACUCGGAAGCUAUGUAGAGGCGCUGCUUCGAAAACAUGAAACAGAGUUCAAUGUGGUUCUUAUUCAGGUGAAUGGAGAAAAUCAUGCCUCAAACUCUAUUCAUGUGUUUCAUGUUGGUAGGCUGAGCAUCAAACUUAGCAAAGGAAAGAUGAUAUUGGCUAGGGAAUUUUAUUCCUCUUCAAUGCAGUGAGAGGAGAAAAUUCAUGUAUCUAAAGAAAAAAGGGUGGAAGAGGAUUACAAGAAGAAAGAAAGUUCCGGUGCAAAGCUCACACCUCUCUACAAACCUGUGGUGGCUCUCUACGGGAUAGGUUUUUUCUUUUUGUUUAAGAAGCCCUUGAUAUAAGAUCUGGACAUGUGGCCCACAUCCAAUUCACGCCACAAUACAUCUUUCCUUGUUCCACGUACAAUGCUAUGUGGGGUUAGAGGUGGUGGAAAUGCUGCAGCUCAGGCACUUUUUUGGCAAGUUAAGAAAGGCCUUUCCUUCACAUUAGCCUUUCAAUCUGAGAGAGAAAGAAAUGCAGCAAUGAUGCUUGCUCGAAGAUUUGCUUUUGAUUGUAAUAUCACACUUGCUGGACCAGAUGACCAGGCUUCUUCUGGAACUUGAUAAAUUUUUAUACCAUUUUAAGUAACCUAGUGAUUUUCCCAAAGUUAUAAAUGUAAUAUUAUAUCUAGCUAUGGAAAAUAGAUUGUAUCUAGGAUCUUGUUCUU